rnacentral:sRNA from 1 species
CUUUAACAAUCCGGAACAAGCUGAAAUUUGAAUCCUCAGCAACAAUGAGUUUUACACUGACAUUGUUGAACUGAGCGAGUCUCUCAAUAUUUGCAGCACGAAAGUAGUCUUGUAAGAGACACCUUCGG